rnacentral:rRNA from 1 species
GUAGGUGGCAAGCGUUGUCCGGGAAUUAUUGGGGCGUAAAGCGCGCGCAGGCGGUUUCUUAAGUCUGAUGUGAAAGCCCACGGGCUCAACCGUGGGAGGGUCAUUGGAAACUGGGGAACUUGAGUGCAGAAGAGGAAAGUGGAAUUCCACGUGUAGCGGUGAAAUGCGUAGAGAUGUGGAGGAACACCAGUGGCGAAGGCGACUUUCUGGUCUGUAACUGACGCUGAGGCGCGAAAGCGUGGGGAGCAAACAGGAUUAGAUACCCUGGUAGUCCACGCCGUAAACGAUGAGUGCUAAGUGUUAGAGGGCUUCCGCCCUUUAGUGCUGCAGCUAACGCAUUAAGCACUCCGCCUGGGGAGUACGGUCGCAAAGACUG